rnacentral:lncRNA from 1 species
CGCAUGACACGCUCGCUCACGAAACUACGUUAGAUGGAACCCCUUGUAGUAGAGAUUUCUAUUAAUUCAACAAUGAAGAAAUACAAAACCAAAGUGUAGUGUUUGCGGUGCGCUGAGCUGGAGUCUACAGUUAGUAGCGGUAUGAGGUACGUGGACCUGGGUACUGGGACGGUCAAGUACCAGGAGGGUCAGGUGCCGGGAGAGUCAGGUGUCGGGAGAGUCAGGUGCCGGGAGAGUCAGGUGUCGGGAGAGUCAGGUGUCGGGAGUCAGGUGUCGGGAGAGUCAGGUGUCGGGAGUCAGGUGUCGGGAGAGUCAGGUGCCGGGAGGGUCAGGGGCUGGGAGAGUCAGGUGUCGGGAGGGUCAGGGGCUGGGAGAGUCAGGUGUCGGGAGAGUCAGGUGUCGGGAGAGUCAGGUGUCGGGAGAGUCAGGUGUCGGGAGGGUCAGGUGUCGGGAGGGUCAGGGGCUGGGAGAGUCAGGUGCCGGGUGGGUCAGAUGGCCGGAGGUGUCGCGUGGAGACAUUUGUCACAUCUGGCAGAUAGCGGCGGACAUUGCCCGCGCCGUUGAUAAACGCGCCGCGAAA